GGUUAAGCGACUAAGCGUACACGGUGGAUGCCCUGGCAGUCAGAGGCGAUGAAGGACGUGCUAAUCUGCGAAAAGCGUCGGUAAGGUGAUAUGAACCGUUAUAACCGGCGAUGUCCGAAUGGGGAAACCCAGUGUGAUUCGUCACACUAUCGUUAACUGAAUACAUAGGUUAACGAGGCGAACCGGGGGAACUGAAACAUCUAAGUACCCCGAGGAAAAGAAAUCAACCGAGAUUCCCCCAGUAGCGGCGAGCGAACGGGGAGCAGCCCAGAGUCUGAAUCAGCUUGUGUGUUAGUGGAACGGUCUGGAAAGUCCGACGGUACAGGGUGAUAGUCCCGUACACCAAAAUGCACAGGUUGUGAACUCGAAGAGUAGGGCGGGACACGUGGUAUCCUGUCUGAAUAUGGGGGGACCAUCCUCCAAGGCUAAAUACUCCUGACUGACCGAUAGUGAACCAGUACCGUGAGGGAAAGGCGAAAAGAACCCCGGCGAGGGGAGUGAAAAAGAACCUGAAACCGUGUACGUACAAGCAGUGGGAGCACCUUCGGGUGUGACUGCGUACCUUUUGUAUAAUGGGUCAGCGACUUAUAUUCUGUAGCAAGGUUAACCGUAUAGGGGAGCCGCAGGGAAACCGAGUCUUAACUGGGCGUUAAGUUGCAGGGUAUAGACCCGAAACCCGGUGAUCUAGCCAUGGGCAGGUUGAAGGUUGGGUAACACUAACUGGAGGACCGAACCGACUAAUGUUGAAAAAUUAGCGGAUGACUUGUGGCUGGGGGUGAAAGGCCAAUCAAACCGGGAGAUAGCUGGUUCUCCCCGAAAGCUAUUUAGGUAGCGCCUCGUGAACUCAUCUUCGGGGGUAGAGCACUGUUUCGGCUAGGGGGUCAUCCCGACUUACCAACCCGAUGCAAACUACGAAUACCGAAGAAUGUUAUCACGGGAGACACACGGCGGGUGCUAACGUCCGUCGUGAAGAGGGAAACAACCCAGACCGCCAGCUAAGGUCCCAAAGUCAUGGUUAAGUGGGAAACGAUGUGGGAAGGCACAGACAGCCAGGAUGUUGGCUUAGAAGCAGCCAUCAUUUAAAGAAAGCGUAAUAGCUCACUGGUCGAGUCGGCCUGCGCGGAAGAUGUAACGGGGCUAAACCAUGCACCGAAGCUGCGGCAGCGACACUAUGUGUUGUUGGGUAGGGGAGCGUUCUGUAAGCCUGCGAAGGUGUGCUGUGAGGCAUGCUGGAGGUAUCAGAAGUGCGAAUGCUGACAUAAGUAACGAUAAAGCGGGUGAAAAGCCCGCUCGCCGGAAGACCAAGGGUUCCUGUCCAACGUUAAUCGGGGCAGGGUGAGUCGACCCCUAAGGCGAGGCCGAAAGGCGUAGUCGAUGGGAAACAGGUUAAUAUUCCUGUACUUGGUGUUACUGCGAAGGGGGGACGGAGAAGGCUAUGUUAGCCGGGCGACGGUUGUCCCGGUUUAAGCAUGUAGGCUGAUUGUCCAGGCAAAUCCGGAUAAUCAAGGCUGAGGUGUGAUGACGAGGCACUACGGUGCUGAAGUAACAAAUGCCCUGCUUCCAGGAAAAGCCUCUAAGCAUCAGGUAACAUCAAAUCGUACCCCAAACCGACACAGGUGGUCAGGUAGAGAAUACCAAGGCGCUUGAGAGAACUCGGGUGAAGGAACUAGGCAAAAUGGUGCCGUAACUUCGGGAGAAGGCACGCUGGUGUGUAGGUGAAGUCCCUGCGGAUGGAGCUGAGACCAGUCGAAGAUACCAGCUGGCUGCAACUGUUUAUUAAAAACACAGCACUGUGCAAACACGAAAGUGGACGUAUACGGUGUGACGCCUGCCCGGUGCCGGAAGGUUAAUUGAUGGGGUUAUCCGUAAGGAGAAGCUCUUGAUCGAAGCCCCGGUAAACGGCGGCCGUAACUAUAACGGUCCUAAGGUAGCGAAAUUCCUUGUCGGGUAAGUUCCGACCUGCACGAAUGGCGUAAUGAUGGCCAGGCUGUCUCCACCCGAGACUCAGUGAAAUUGAACUCGCUGUGAAGAUGCAGUGUACCCGCGGCAAGACGGAAAGACCCCGUGAACCUUUACUAUAGCUUGACACUGAACAUUGAGCCUUGAUGUGUAGGAUAGGUGGGAGGCUUUGAAGCGUGGACGCCAGUCUGCGUGGAGCCAACCUUGAAAUACCACCCUUUAAUGUUUGAUGUUCUAACGUUGGCCCCUUACCGGGGUUGCGGACAGUGUCUGGUGGGUAGUUUGACUGGGGCGGUCUCCUCCCAAAGCGUAACGGAGGAGCACGAAGGUUAGCUAAUCCUGGUCGGACAUCAGGAGGUUAGUGCAAUGGCAUAAGCUAGCUUGACUGCGAGCGUGACGGCGCGAGCAGGUGCGAAAGCAGGUCAUAGUGAUCCGGUGGUUCUGAAUGGAAGGGCCAUCGCUCAACGGAUAAAAGGUACUCCGGGGAUAACAGGCUGAUACCGCCCAAGAGUUCAUAUCGACGGCGGUGUUUGGCACCUCGAUGUCGGCUCAUCACAUCCUGGGGCUGAAGUAGGUCCCAAGGGUAUGGCUGUUCGCCAUUUAAAGUGGUACGCGAGCUGGGUUUAGAACGUCGUGAGACAGUUCGGUCCCUAUCUGCCGUGGACGCUGGAGAAUUGAGGGGGGCUGCUCCUAGUACGAGAGGACCGGAGUGGACGCAUCACUGGUGUUCGGGUUGUCAUGCCAAUGGCACUGCCCGGUAGCUAAAUGCGGAAGAGAUAAGUGCUGAAAGCAUCUAAGCACGAAACUUGCCCCGAGAUGAGUUCUCCCUGAGACUUUAAGUCUCCUGAAGGAACGUUAAAGACGAUGACGUUGAUAGGCCGGGUGUGUAAGCGCAGCGAUGCGUUGAGCUAACCGGUACUAAUGAACCGUGAGGCUUAACCUU
rnacentral:rRNA from 1 species